rnacentral:pre_miRNA from 1 species
UAUGUACUCCCUCCGUCCUAAUAUUCUUGUCUUAAGUUUGUCUAAAAAUGGAUGUAUCCAAAUACCAAAACGUGACUAGAUACAUUCAUAUCUAGACAAAUCUAAGAUAAAUUUUUUGGGAUGGAGGGAGUAUUAA